rnacentral:rRNA from 1 species
AAAUUGAAGAGUUUGAUCAUGGCUCAGAUUGAACGCUGGCGGCAGGCCUAACACAUGCAAGUCGAACGGUAACAGGAAACAGCUUGCUGUUUCGCUGACGAGUGGCGGACGGGUGAGUAAUGUCUGGGAAACUGCCUGAUGGAGGGGGAUAACUACUGGAAACGGUAGCUAAUACCGCAUAACGUCGCAAGACCAAAGAGGGGGACCCUCGGGCCUCUUGCCAUCGGAUGUGCCCAGAUGGGAUUAGCUUGUUGGUGGGGUAACGGCUCACCAAGGCGACGAUCCCUAGCUGGUCUGAGAGGAUGACCAGCCACACUGGAACUGAGACACGGUCCAGACUCCUACGGGAGGCAGCAGUGGGGAAUAUUGCACAAUGGGCGCAAGCCUGAUGCAGCCAUGCCGCGUGUAUGAAGAAGGCCUUCGGGUUGUAAAGUACUUUCAGC